AUACGUGACAGGCCUCCUCUGCCUUUGUUUCUAGAGCUGCUGCCAGCCUGCUGCUGCCUCUCCACGCUUUGCCUGAGGCCAGAGAAUCCCACAGACGAUGCUAUUUCAUGGCAUCACUCUUUGAACCACUGCAAGCUUCCUUGUAUAGCCCCCAAAACACAGGAAAGGCUGCAUUUUAGCUGGGCCGGCUUCGAGACCAAGACGCAGUUGAUGCACUUCACAAUGUACUAAUUUGUUGUUCACUCCAUGAACAAAAACUGAGGCCUACUAGGUUCCCCAGAGCUGCUCAAGAUGCCAGAGCCAUGGAGGGGGGUGAGGGGAAGGGCAAGAAGGUGCCCAUAGUGCUUAUAAUGUAGGAAAGGGGGACAGGGACGGGCAGACAGGAAAAGAAGGGAAAAGGCAAGCAGAGAACAAGGUUGUGAAAAGUGCUCUGUAGCCCGGGCGAGAGAGAUGUCGGUGACUCCGAGUAAGGCAUGAUAUCAGCAUUACAGGGAAGGGCUCUGACUCAGUGUGAUCUCAAAGUUGAUAGGAUUGCUCAAAGAUUAAGUAUUCAGACUAAAAGAAAGAGGGAGGGACCAGGAUAAAUUAAAUUAUCAGCUGGUUUACUGAGAAAACUCAGAGAAGAAGACAUUCAGGGAGACACCAAGCCAGGGAGGUGACAAGUAUGUGGUAAAAUCCGAGCACGCAGAAUUUGGGGGAACAGGACUCUAGACUGCCUCUAGAGAGAGCUGUAUUGAAGGCCCUGCGACCCAGCACAGAGAAGGGAAUGGUGCUCUAGGUCCCUGCCUCUGCAGAAGACAAAUCCAGGAAGAGAACCAGGAAACUGCAGAGUAGCCAGCCACAUGCGAGAAAAAUCUGAAGGAGACGAAAAUGUUUCAGGAGAAAGGGCUUUUCAACUGGUGCAUAAUUUAGGUUAAAGUUUCUGAGCAGCUCUGGACUGCAAAAGGGCCUCCCUUCACUGAGCAGAUGUAUAUGACCCCGUGCUUCUCCGAUUCAUACCAAACUUCAGAGAAACUCCGGGAAAGGUUCCUUCUGUAUUUAUGGAUGAGAAUUAUGUGAAGCCUCUACAACCAUCGUAGUUCAUAUCUCCAGAGAGAGGUAUAAUUUGCAGUGAAGUGCACAAAUCAGUGAAAUUUUACGUAUGCAACCUUUAUCACUCACCACCCAAACCAGAGUGGUGUCUUCCCAACACCCCAGGGCCUCUAGUCCUUUUCCAGCGUUGCCUGAAGACACAAACUACUGAUGGCUGCAUCCACAUGACUGACUUCAAACACAGCACGCUGCAGGAGAAAAGCCGGAUACGCGCGUGGAAAGUGGGUGGCUCCACCACCCUGCUGUUCAGGUUUUCUUUCUGAAAGUUCUUUUGGCUUUAUUAUGGAAUAGAGGUUACAGAAAGGCAAAAGCUUUGGCCGUAGCGGGUGGGAAGAUCUUCCUUACCCUGGAGGAGGAAGUAGGGUCUCCGUAAUGUAUGUGUGGUACUCAGGGCUCCCGGCAGCCCGAAGCCAGAGUGUGUCCUCACCCUGCCCCGGGUCAGCCCUGUGACCUGGAGGGAGCAACUGAAAAGCUCUGGGCCUCGGAUUCCUCAUCUGUGAAAUGGGGAUGCUAACAGUGCUACCUCCUCUGGUUGGUUUGUGGCAGAGGACACAUGAGGCAACCUGUGUAAAAUGCUUGGAGGGUGGCCAGUGUGGUUACCAUGGAGAUUGACUGGUACCGUCUUCCACAUCCUGUGUUGACUAAGCGCGCACACCAGAAUACAGUUCCAAACGAUUAUCAAACAUGAAUACAAUUCAGAAAAUAAACAUGCAGCAAAACUUGCCAUAAAGAUUGCAUGAAACUAUCACUUUAAGAAAAAUACAUUAAAAAUUACCUUAAAUACCGAAAAGUACUUUUGUAAGUAAGGAUCAGUCCAAUAAAUUUAACCUGUAUUUGAAUCAGUGUAAAA
rnacentral:lncRNA from 1 species